rnacentral:rRNA from 1 species
UACGUAGGUGGCAAGCGUUGUCCGGAUUAUUGGGUUUAAAGGGUGCGUAGGCGGAUGCUUAAGUCAGAGGUGAAAGACGGCCGCUCAACGGUCGCAGUGCCUUUGAUACUGGGUAUCUUGAGUGCAGACGAGGUCUGUGGAAUGGAUGGUGUAGCGGUGAAAUGCUUAGAUACCAUCCAGAACACCAAUUGCGAAGGCAGCAGACUAGGGUGCAACUGACGCUGAGGCACGAAAGUGCGGGGAGCAAAACAGG